UACGUAGGGUGCGAGCGUUGUCCGGAAUUAUUGGGCGGAAAGGGCUCGUAGGCGGUCGGUUGCGUCGGGAGUGAAAACUCAGGGCUUAACCCUGAGCCUGCUUCCGAUACGGGCAGACUAGAGGUAUGCAGGGGAGAACGGAAUUCCUGGUGUAGCGGUGAAAUGCGCAGAUAUCAGGAGGAACACCGGUGGCGAAGGCGGUUCUCUGGGCAUUACCUGACGCUGAGGAGCGAAAGUGUGGGGAGCGAACAGG
rnacentral:rRNA from 1 species